rnacentral:rRNA from 1 species
UACGGGGGGGGCAAGCGUUGUUCGGAAUUACUGGGCGUAAAGGGCUCGUAGGCGGUUUGCCGCGUCGGGAGUGAAAACACGGGGCUUAACCCCGUGCCUGCUUCCGAUACGGGCAGACUAGAGGUAUGCAGGGGAGAACGGAAUUCCUGGUGUAGCGGUGAAAUGCGCAGAUAUCAGGAGGAACACCCGUAGCGAAGGCGGCACUCUGGGCCGAUACUGACACUGAGGAGCGAAAGCGUGGGGAGCGAACAGG